UGAGUACGAGAUGCUACGGCAUCGAAGCAGUCUAUGUCAUACUUCCAAGAAAAGCUUGCAAUGUCAUAAACAAAUAAUGCCUGUACCAUAACCGACACAGGUGGGUAGGUAGAGUAUACUAAGGGGCGCGAGAUAACUCUCUCUAAGGAACUCGGCAAAAUGACUCCGUAACUUCGGGAGAAGGAGUGCCUUAUUUUUAUAAGGUUGCAAUAACAAGAUCCAAGCAACUGUUUACCAAAAACACAGGUCUCCGCUAAGUCGUAAGACGAUGUAUGGGGGCUGACGCCUGCCCAGUGCCAGAAGGUUAAAGAAGUUGGUUAGCAUUAGCGAAGCUGAUAACUGAAGCCCUGGUGAACGGCGGCCGUAACUAUAACGGUCCUAAGGUAGCGAAAUUCCUUGUCGGGUAAGUUCCGACCCGCACGAAAGGCGUAAUGAUUUGGAUACUGUCUCGGAGAGGGGCUCGGUGAAAUAGACUUGUCUGUGAAGAUGCGGACUACCUGCACCUGGACAGAAAGACCCUAUGAAGCUUUACUGUAACUUGAGAUUGAAAUUGGACUUUAUCUGCGCAGUAUAGGUGGGAGACGUUGAAAAUAUUCUUGCGGGAAUAUUGGAGUCAUCAGUGAGAUACCACUCUUAUAAUGUUAGAUUUCUAACUUUGUAUCAUUAUCUGGUCAAAGAACAGUUUCAGGCGGGCAGUUUGACUGGGGCGGUCGCCUCCCAAACGGUAACGGAGGCGCACAAAGGUUUCCUCUGAACGUGUAGAAAUCGUAUCUAGAGUGUAAAGGCAUAAGGAAGCUUGACUGUGAGACCUACAAGUCGAGCAGGGACGAAAGUCGGUCUUAGUGAUCUGACGGUGCUGAGUGGAAAGGCCGUCACUCAACGGAUAAAAGUUACUCUAGGAUAACAGGCUGAUCUCCCCCAAGAGUUCACAUCGACGGGGAGGUUUGGCACCUCGAUGUCGGCUCAUCGCAUCCUGGGGCGGUAGUACGUCCCAAGGGUUGGGCUGUUCGCCCAUGAAAGCGGUACGCGAGCUGGGUUCAGAACGUCGUGAGACAGUUCGGUCCAUAUCCGGUGUAGGCGUUAGAAUAUUGAGAGGAGCCUUCUUUAGUACGAGAGGACCGAGAAGGACAUACCUCUGGUGUACCAGUUAUCGUGCCAACGGUAAACGCUGGGUAGCCAUGUAUGGAGAGGAUAACCGCUGAAAGCAUCUAAGUGGGAAGCCCACCUCAAGAUAAGUAUUCUCAUU
rnacentral:rRNA from 1 species